rnacentral:lncRNA from 1 species
GUACCAGGAGCCAACUGUGAUCAGAAAACAGGAAAUCUCGCAAACUUGUGAGCAAGUCUUGACUUCAAGUUGGCCUUACCUGGGCUCUGAGGAUUCUUUCAUUGGAAGUUAAGGUGCUAAUGACAGAGACCAACAUGGAAGGAAAGGAGUGAAUUCUCCCUCCAGGUGCCAUAGAUGACAUCUUUUUAGAUGGAUCUUUCGGUUUGCCUUUAUGAGAGGUUUAGUUGCCAAACUGGGAUUCAAACUUAAGAAGCUCACCUCUCAACUACUAUACAGCACAACCUCCCUGGACAAUACCAUCUUUUCCACAAUAUGUUUCUUCCGGGCAUCCAAACAUGCCAGUUCCAUCAGCACUUCAAAUGGAGCAAGACAGAAAUUAGUCCCUCAGGCAGCCCUUCAAAAAGCCAGACAUUGGACACUCCCUCCACUCUUCUCUGUCCAAACCGAGCUGUUCUCUCCUGGUGCUGAGCUGUACUGCUUUGGGAAGUUUCACUCUUGUCACCCAGGCUGGAGUGCAAUGGUGCGAUCUCGGCUCACUGAAACCUCCGCCUCCUGGGUUCAAGCCAUUCUCCUGCCUCAUGCUCCUCAGUAG